rnacentral:rRNA from 4 species
UAGGGAAUCUUCGGCAAUGGACGCAAGUCUGACCGAGCAACGCCGCGUGAGUGAAGAAGGUUUUCGGAUCGUAAAACUCUGUUGUUAGAGAAGAACAAGGAUGAGAGUAGAAUGUUCAUCCCUUGACGGUAUCUAACCAGAAAGCCACGGCUAACUACGUGCCAGCAGCCGCGGUAAUACGUAGGUGGCAAGCGUUGUCCGGAUUUAUUGGGCGUAAAGCGAGCGCAGGCGGUUUCUUAAGUCUGAUGUGAAAGCCCCCGGCUCAACCGGGGAGGGUCAUUGGAAACUGGGAAACUUGAGUGCAGAAGAGGAGAGUGGAAUUCCAUGUGUAGCGGUGAAAUGCGUAGAUAUAUGGAGGAACACCAGUGGCGAAGGCGGCUCUCUGGUCUGUAACUGACGCUGAGGCUCGAAAGCGUGGGGAGCAAACAGG